AGAUCCAAACACUUUAAUGUCGUAAGCUCCACAGUAUCCUUCCCUAAGAGCAUCAUUAACCGGGUUCCUUAAGCCCGUCUCUUAGUAUAUCAGAAUUAAAAAAAAAAAAAAAAAAAUUACCCUAAGGAACGUCUCUUAAUCAAGAGACAGAAGAGACGGCUCUUCUGAACACACGUCGCUCUCUCUUCUUCCCUGCUUCCCCUCGAAUCUUCUUCGGCAUCAGAUGAAUCGGAUUCUCUCGUCCUCACUUUUGAUUGAUAAUACUCUGGAGUCAAAGUUCAAGCAGAGGCCCUUUGUGGUAUUGUAGUUGAAGCCUGGUGAGAUAGAGGGAAUCAAGAAAGACUGAGGAACCUGGAAACCUUGCACCGACCGGUCUAUUCCUUGGCGGAGAGAAGUACAUGGUUGUCCAAGGUGAAGCAGGAGCUGUCAUCCGAGGCAAAAAGUUUGUAAAGCGGCUGUGAUCAGGCUCAGGUUCUAUUAGUCUCUGAUUUAUGCUGUCACCACACACCACAAGAGAGAGAGAUAGAGAUAGAGAACAUGGGAAGAAAAGAAGAAGAUGACAACAACGGAGGAGGUGAGAUGGCGUCAUCUUUCUUGGACGGUACGGGGUUGGUCUGUGUAACGGGAGGGACUGGUUUCGUUGCUUCUUGGCUCAUCAUGCGUCUCUUACAACGUGGCUACUCCGUUCAUGCCACUGUUUGGACCAACCCAGGUUCGAGUCUCUGUCUUGCAGAAGAGAGAAUGCUUCUCAUCAGAGCAACUCUUCAGGGUCUUGCUUGGAUAUGAAGAACUCAAACGGCUUAGCUGACUUGAAUGAGCCACUCAAAUGGCAAGAUUCAGAACCCGUGUCUCUCUGUCCAGGGAUAUGCAUUCUCAUUACGGAGAAACAAUGCAGAUGUUCAAGGACAGUGGUUGGAGAAAAACACAAGUCAAAAUGAAUGGAUGGUCCUUGAAACAGAAGCAACAAACUCUCUCUCCUUGUCGUCCAGUAGAAGGUUUAGGGAACGGUUUGGCCAGAGAUUUCUUUAUCUUCUUGUAUGCACCAUGGAUCAGCCCAACGACUCCUUGAGGGGAUUGAUCAGAACCGGAGCAAUGUCUAAUUUGAGAUUUACCAAAGCUGUGGGAUAUGCUUGGCUCUUGUGAUCUGUUAACAAGUAUAGUUUCUGCGUGGAUAAACCAGGGCCUGCUUAGAAUGGUUAUCCCGGAAGAUGUACUUUAUAGGCACAGAAUCAGCAAGGUAAUAAAACUGAGACUGAGUAGCAAAAGUUAGUUAAGCACAUGUUUGAUGGGUGUGAAAGAAAAUGGAUUUUGCACUGAUUUACAUUACCAUUAGACCAUGAACUCGUAUCUCCCCUAAGCUGGAAAGGCAACUUGCAUGUGUUUCCUCAA